ACGCUCGACACCUACGGGGGCAGCAGUCGGGAAUAUUGCGCAAUGGAGGAAACUCUGACGCAGUGACGCCGCGUGCAGGAAGAAGGUUUUCGGAUUGUAAACUGCUUUAGACAGGGAAGAAAGAAAUGACAGUACCUGUAGAAUAAGCUCCGGCUAACUACGUGCCAGUAGCCGCGGUAAUCUGAGCGGGCUGGCAAGGC
rnacentral:rRNA from 1 species